rnacentral:rRNA from 1 species
ACUAUACCUAGCCCAAACUAUUACCACUUAAUACGAAAAUAAUAAUAAAACAAAACAUUUACCCUCAAAUUAAAGUAUAGGAGAUAGAAAUUCUAAAUAUGGCGCUAUAGAGAAAGUACCGCAAGGGAAUGAUGAAACAAAAAAAUUAAAGUACACAAAAGCAAAGAUUACUUCUUGUACCUUUUGCAUAAUGAGUUAACUAGUAAAAACUUAGCAAAACGAAUUUUAGCUAAAUAACCCGAAACCAGACGAGCUACUUAUGAACAGUUUUUUAAGAACCAACUCAUCUAUGUGGCAAAAUAGUGAGAAGAUUUAUAAGUAGAGGUGAAANGCCUAACGAGCCUGGUGAUAGCUGGUUGUCCAGAAAAUGAAUNUNAGUUCAGGUUUAAANAUACCAAAAANANAAANAAANNNACUGUAUCUUUAAAAGUUAGUCUAAAAAGGUACAGCCUUUUAGAAAUGGAUACAACCUUCACUAGAGAGUAAGACUUUACAACACCAUAGUAGACCUAAAAGCAGCCAUCAAUUAAGAAAGCGUUAAAGCUCAACAAUAAAGAUAAAAAUAAUCCCAACAAUAGUGCAACUAACCCCUAGACCUAAUACUGGACCACUCUAUUGUUUAAUAGAAGCAAUAAUGUUAAUAUGAGUAACAAGAAAUAUUUUCUCCCUGCACAAGUUUAAGUCAGUAUUUGAUAAUAUUCUGACUGUUAACAGUAAAUAAAAACAACCUAACGAUAAAUAAUUUAUUAAUUACACUGUUAACCCAACACAGGAGUGCACCCAGGAAAGAUUAAAAGAAGUAAAAGGAACUCGGCAAACAGAAACCCCGCCUGUUUACCAAAAACAUCACCUCCAGCAUUACCAGUAUUGGAGGCACUGCCUGCCCAGUGACUAANNGUUAAACGGCCGCGGUAUNCUGACCGUGCAAAGGUAGCAUAAUCAUUUGUUCUNUAAAUAAGGACUUGUAUGAAUGGCCACACGAGGGUUUUACUGCCUCUCACUUCNAAUCAGUGAAAUUGACCANCCCGUGAGAGGGCGGGAAUAGACAAACAAGACGAGAAGACCCUAUGGAGCUUUAACUAACUAGUCCAAAAGAAAUAAAUCCAACCACUAAGGGAUAAUAACAUUCUUUAUGGACUAGCAGUUUUGGUUGGGGUGACCUCGGAGAACAAGAGAUCCUCCGAACGAUUUUAAAGACUAGACUUACAAGUCAAACCAAAUUAUCGCUUAUUGAUCCAAAAAACUUGAUCAACGGAACAAGUUACCCUAGGGAUAACAGCGCAAUCCUAUUCAAGAGUCCAUAUCGACAAUAGGGUUUACGACCUCGAUGUUGGAUCAGGACAUCCUGAUGGUGCAACCGCUAUCAAAGGUUCGUUUGUUCAACGAUUAAAGUCCUACGUGAUCUGAGUUCAGACCGGAGUAAU